rnacentral:rRNA from 1 species
CCUACUGGAGACAUCAUUGGGGUAUCUUGCACAAUGGGGGAAACCCUGAUGCAGCGACGCCGCGUGUGGUCCUCCUUUCCUCUUUCUUUUCCCCCCCUUUCCCCCUUUCCCCCGAUGACUGUACCUGGGGAGGAAGCUCCGGCUAACUACGUGCCAGCAGCCGCGGUAAUACGUAGGGAGCGAGCGUUGUCCGGAAUUACUGGGUGUAAAGGGAGCGUAGGCGGGGAUGCAAGUUGGGUGUAAAAACUACCGGCUCAACUGGUAGUCGCACUCAAAACUGCAGCUCUUGAGUGAAGUAGAGGCAGGCGGAAUUCGUAGUGUAGCGGUGAAAUGCGUAGAUAUUAGGAGGAACACCAGUGGCGAAGGCGGCCUGCUGGGCUUUUACUGACGCUGAGGCUCGAAAGUGUGGGGAGCGAACAGGAUUAGAGAAAAGGGUAGUC